rnacentral:rRNA from 1 species
GACGAACGCUGGCGGCGUGCUUAACACAUGCAAGUCGAACGGAAAGGCCUCUUCGGAGGUACUCGAGUGGCGAACGGGUGAGUAACACGUGGGUGAUCUGCCCUGCACUCCGGGAUAAGCCUGGGAAACUGGGUCUAAUACCGGAUAGGACCAUGCUUUAGUGUGUGUGGUGGAAAGUUUUUUCGGUGUAGGAUGAGCCCGCGGCCUAUCAGCUUGUUGGUGGGGUAAUGGCCUACCAAGGCGGCGACGGGUAGCCGGACUGAGAGGUUGGUCGGCCACAUUGGGACUGAGAUACGGCCCAGACUCCUACGGGAGGCAGCAGUGGGGAAUAUUGCACAAUGGGCGCAAGCCUGAUGCAGCGACGCCGCGUGGGGGAUGACGGCCUUCGGGUUGUAAACUCCUUUCGCCAGGGACGAAGCGUUUUGUGACGGUACCUGGAGAAGAAGCACCGGCUAACUACGUGCCAGCAGCCGCGGUAAUACGUAGGGUGCAAGCGUUGUCCGGAAUUAUUGGGCGUAAAGCGAGCGCAGGCGGUCAAUUAAGUCUGAUGUGAAAGCCCCCGGCUCAACCGGGGAGGGUCAUUGGAAACUGGUUGACUUGAGUGCAGAAGAGGAGAGUGGAAUUCCAUGUGUAGCGGUGAAAUGCGUAGAUAUAUGGAGGAACACCAGUGGCGAAGGCGACUCUCUGGUCUGUAACUGACGCUGAGGCUCGAAAGCGUGGGUAGCAAACAGGAUUAGAUACCCUGGUAGUCCACGCCGUAAACGAUGAGUGCUAAGUGUUGGAGGGUUUCCACCCUUCAGUGCUGCAGUUAACGCAUUAAGCACUCCGCCUGGGGAGUACGACCGCAAGGUUGAAACUCAAAGGAAUUGACGGGGACCCGCACAAGCGGUGGAGCAUGUGGUUUAAUUCGAAGCAACGCGAAGAGCCUUACCAAGUCUUGACAUACUGUGAGGACACAAGAGAUUGUGUUGUUCUGACCUUUGGUUAGACACAGAUACAGGUGGUGCAUGGUUGUCGUCAGCUCGUGUCGUGAGAUGUUGGGUUAAGUCCCGCAACGAGCGCAACCCUUAUAUCUAGUUGCCAGCAGUAAGAUGGGGACUCUAGAUAGACUGCCAGUGAUAAACUGGAGGAAGGUGGGGAUGACGUCAAAUCAUCAUGCCCCUUAUGACUUGGGCUACACACGUGCUACAAUGGAUAGGAACAAAGAGAAGCGAGCUCGCGAGAGUAAGCAAACCUCACAAAACUAUUCUCAGUUCGGAUUGUAGUCUGCAACUCGACUACAUGAAGCUGGAAUCGCUAGUAAUCGCGAAUCAGAAUGUCGCGGUGAAUACGUUCCCGGGUCU